GGGUCGAUGGCGUAGUUGGUUAUCGCAUCUGUCUAACAUAGGUCCAAGAUGUCAUGUAACACAGAAGGUCCUCAGUUCGAACCUGGGUCGACUCA